rnacentral:lncRNA from 1 species
GUGCCUUAUAACAUGUCUUUAUAACUGGCUGUGUAAGAAUGAAGAAAAGCUGUCCAUCUUCUGAGAAGGAAGCAGCAUGUGCCAUCCUUCUGUCAGAAAACACCAAAGAGAUGAAGAAAUGAGAAAUCCAGAAACCAAAGACCUUGCUCUUUUGUCAAACAGACUUGGUAGAGCAGAGUUGCAAAAUCAGACCUUUGGGGGCUUGCGUGUUUCUCCUCUUACUCCCUGGUAAGCCCUGCCUUGAACUUCAGGCUGCCUGGCUUGGAUCCUGAUGCUGCUUUGCUGACACAAUCCAUUCUCCCAGGGAACACCCAGAGUUCCACUCCAGCCCUGGCAACGCUGCAGCAGAGGCCAACUGUACGGAAAGUCUACAUUGGCUCGGAACAAUUGAGGCUGGGAGAGGGUAUCACAGCAAUUUCCCCACAUCCAUUCCAGCUGGUGAUUUCCUGCUUGGUCGUCUUUUAAAACCCAGCCAUCUGAAUCCGAGAGUUGCUUCUUCAGCAAGGCCUCCCCUGACUCCUUCAGAUGUCUAAGCACCACCCCUACUCUUCUGCUGCAGCAUCUCCACUUGCUUUUGUCCUUCAUCUCCCUGAAAUUAUUUGCUUACUCAUCCAUCCAUGUCAGUUGCAAAAGCAUGACUUCCUCUAGUCCAAAGGCCAUUCAUGUUCAAUAUGUUAGCACUCGGAGCGUCUCCAGUGGUUGUUUCAAACAAGGCAAAUGAGUUCAGUUGAACUUUAUAUGUUCUGCCCUCCGACUGUGACUGUUAUUUACUUCCCUCCAAACAAAAUGUAAUAAUAAAAUGACUAACUGAACACUGCCCUUUA